AUACGGAGGGUGCGAGCGUUACUCGGAAUCACUGGGCGUAAAGCGCGCGCAGGCGGCUUGGUAAGUUGGAUGUGAAAGCCUACGGCUCAACCGUAGAACUGCAUCCAAAACUGUCAAGCUAGAGUGUGGGAGAGGAAGAUGGAAUUAGUUGUGUAGGGGUAAAAUCCGUAGAGAUAACUAGGAAUACCAAAAGCGAAGGCAAUCUUCUGGAACACUACUGACGCUGAGGCGCGAAAGCGUGGGGAGCAAACAGGAUUAGAAACCCUAGUAGUCC
rnacentral:rRNA from 1 species